CCUGGCGGCACUAGCGCGGUGGUCCCACCUGACCCCAUGCCGAACUCAGAAGUGAAACGCCGUAGCGCCGAUGGUAGUGUGGGGUCUCCCCAUGCGAGAGUAGGGAACUGCCAGG
rnacentral:rRNA from 6 species